AACGAACGCUGGCGGCAGGCUUAACACAUGCAAGUCGAGCGCCCCGCAAGGGGAGCGGCAGACGGGUGAGUAACGCGUGGGAAUCUACCCAUCUCUACGGAAUAACGCAUGGAAACGUGUGCUAAUACCGUAUACGUCCUUCGGGAGAAAGAUUUAUCGGCAAAGGAUCGGCCCGCGUUGGAUUAGCUAGUUGGUGGGGUAAUGGCCUACCAAGGCGACGAUCCAUAGCUGGUCUGAGAGGAUGAUCAGCCACAUUGGGACUGAGACACGGCCCAAACUCCUACGGGAGGCAGCAGUGGGGAAUAUUGGACAAUGGGCGCAAGCCUGAUCCAGCCAUGCCGCGUGAGUGAUGAAGGCCUUAGGGUUGUAAAGCUCUUUCACCGGAGAAGAUAAUGACGGUAUCCGGAGAAGAAGCCCCGGCUAACUUCGUGCCAGCCGCCACGGUAAGAC
rnacentral:rRNA from 1 species